AUGAGUAUCCCUGAUUUCAAGCCCAGUGCUCUAUCCACUGUGCCACCUAUUGGGAUAUACACCAAGCUAGGAUGUACAGGGAGUAGUACCUCUGGUGUGAAGAACCAGGAUCCUGACAUCCUGUCACUCGUGCCUAAAUAUGGAAGAAUCAAUAACAAGGUUUUAAAAAUGAAAUAAAAACUGCCCAACAUUAAAAAACAAAUUAAAAACUAAAGAUUUUACAUGAAAAUAUCAAUGGAAACAAUGAUAAACUAUUAUUUCUUAGACUUUUCCUCUCUUUUUAUAUUCUCUGUUCUUCCCUGAUGAGAUUCUUAUCUCAUAAUAUUUAAAUUUUAUUAUUCUAAUUUAAAAUUUUUUUAUUCUAAGACCAAAAUUUUCAUAAU
rnacentral:lncRNA from 1 species